ACCGCCUGAAAACGCCCUUUCAUAUGAGCUAUUGCAAGCUGAGGUACCACAUACCUGGCCAGAGAUAUCUGCAAAAACGUCUGAAAUUGGCACAUUUUCAAACUUUGUGCCAAAAUGGCACAUUAUCUUCAACUUUUUUUGGAACAACCAUACCAUCAAAAGAUGCGCCGCGACGCCCUCUAUCCAUUUAGGUGGUAUGUUGGGGGGGUACCACGUCUGUGAAAAAAGUUAUUCGCAAAAAACCAAAAUUUUAUGGCUCUAUUAACUUUUGGCACUUUUUGGCACAAAGGAGAUGCGACAAUCGAUUUUCGACCACAGGCCCGGAUUGCCAACUCGAUGGAAAGUUUUUUGGCACGUUUGGAUUUCCCAACAUUGAAACACAGUAAAAGUUAUUUGGCCUCAAAGUCAAAAUUUUUUUCAAUUUUCCGACGUCGCUGUGACGUCAUAGCCACGCCCAAAUCCAAAACCGACCACACCCAACGAUGCCCCUUGAAAAGGACAACAUUUGGUGUAAGGGGCGUCGUGGUACCCCCGCUGGUUCAAAAGUUAUGGCGAAAAGACUUUUUUGGCACCCCGUUUUUGACCCUAUUUUUUGGUUUUUGGCACACAGUGGCGCAACCGUAAAAGGUACCAAGUCGCCGUUCCCACCCUUUUCAAUCCACCAUAUAGGGAUCACCUUGGCACCGUUUGCACAUCUGUACCACUUUUGGUCUCUCUGUGCCAAGGUCCCAAACAGGGCCCACUUUCGCUUGCCUCUGUGACGUCACGACCACGCCCAACCACGCCCAAACUCAAGUCACUCGUGGACCUCGCGGAGAUCUUUCGUUUGAGCCAGGUCCCAGUUUUGUCCCAUUUGUGGUUCAAAAGUUACGGUCCAAAGUGUGUUUUUGGCGCUUUUCGGCACCAGUGCCACUCGGUUUGUGCCAAAUAACUCGGAACAGAAAGGUGGUACCCUGGUGCAAACGAAGGUCCUCAGUUACCCCACUGAAUUUGGCACAGUUUGAGCCUAUUUGGGCUUCUGUACCUCUUGUCACUUUUUUGCCCCGUCAGUUUGAAAAUCGGCGAAAAAGUGCCAAAAUCGCCUCUUCUGACGUCACUGUGACGUAGGUGCCACGCCCAAUCCGAGUGCCGUUUAUUGCAAAAGGUGCGCCUUCACUAUCUCUACGACCUCCCGCAAACCCCGUUUCGAUACCCCUCUUCGUUUUUAAGUUAUUCACGAAAAACCUGUUUUUGGCCGUUUUUUUCCACCCCCGUGACACAUGUUUUUUGGGGUUUACCCCACCUUACCCCGUUACCCCAACUCCCAGAUUUCGUAUUCGACUAGGGCCUCUUACAGAUACACCUUCUAAAAAAAGAAUUUUUCGAUUCCCACUUGCCGUUCAAAAGUUAUUCGCGAAAAACACUUUUCAAAAAAUCCGCACCUACCAAUUUGCAAUAUCUUUUUGAAAUAAACUCGGGAAUACUUACUUUAUGCUUGGAUAUCUAGAACUGCUCAUUUUCCUCACUUUUGUUGGAGAAUCUGCUAAAUGUUUUGGUCGGAAAUUUUUGGAGCCGCAAUGGACCUAAUCGCAGCAGCCGCUUCGUGAUAUGUUGCAGAACUAUUCAAUCAAUAAAAUGUGUCACAAAUCGUCAAGCCCAUCUUUUCCAACCGAUUGCGAUUUUGUUAUGGGAACAAAUAACGCUGCAAAUUGCGUGAAAGAACAUUUCGUCCUCUCACUAAAUAAAAAUACCAAAAUUCCCUCGACAAACAGGUUCACUCGAUUACCUCACUCAAUAGCUGGAAAAGAGUAGGCAUAAUAAAAUGGCUUAAAAUAUGCCACUUUCCAUCAAAUAGAGCGUUUUCAUGUGACGUAAGAAAAUCGGAAACGAGGUUGGUGGCCAUGUUGGUGUUCCACCACUGAUCUCUGUGUUAAAAGUUGUUAAAGUGCCUAUGAAAUGAAAUUUAAGUGAUUGAAAAAAUUACAUUUUCUGAUAGAAAAAGAAUCAGUGAUUCCAAUCGUGUAUAAUUUGAUGUCUUUUAUGCUCACGAAAUGCAAAAAAAAGUCAAGAAGAUACUCCGUUUUUUCAUUUUUCUGGGAGACAAAGCGCGCGGCAUUGUGACGUCAUGUGGUUUGCAGAUGGUUGCUGUGGUUUUAUUUUUUGUUUGGUUCGUUGGCAACGUACAUUGAAGAUGGAGGAAACUUUCGGAACGACAGUGAAAAGAGGAGGGAAAUAUUGCGUAGCUGGUGCUGCUGGUAACAAAAGUUGCCAGAACACAAGUUAUACAAAUGGAAUAUCCAUGCAUAGAUUCCCAAAAACGAAGAAACGCGUAGAAAGUGGACAAAUUUCGUUCGAAGGCACAGGCCUAACUUCUCACCCACUUCCACUUCCCAUCUAUGUUCCGCUCAUUUCGCACCGACAUCUUUUACAAGAAGAUUAGACAUAGGAAUCGGCGAUGGUGUGAAUCUAAAUCGGACACUUCAAUCCGGAGCUUUUCCAACCGAAGAUACCGUCAUUUCGACAGCCGAAGAAAAAGGACCAACAGUUACACCUCGCGAGCGGCGACAGGUUAGGCCCUUAAAAUGUCACGGUUUCUUGAAAGAAUAAAACCAGAUAGUUCGCUGUAUGCACUUCUGCUGUUGCCAAUUAAGCGAGUCCGCAUUUUGGUCAUAGAUUCAAUGCAAAUUCUUUUUACAAUCUUUCAGGGACUGUGGCUUAUGACAAACUUUUUGUUAUUGUGACCAACCCCACAAUUGGUAAAAGCUAUUGGAAAACUUUCAGGGGAUGCGCAAACGAGUUGCAUUGAAGGUUUUCAUUCUACGCUAAACCACUGGCACCCAAAAAUGAUUGGAUUCUUUUAUACUGGUUCGGUUUGCAGAACAAUAACGGCCAUUCUGUAUUUUAAUGAAAAUAUCAAACGGGAGAGGAUGAAAACCAAAGAUGGAGAGUCUUACUUCCAUGUUGUUUACCCAAAAUACAAGUUUGGGGAGGAAAUAGUUCGCGAGGUCUCAGUGCCUCCAACUUACGUUAAGUUUUAUGCUAUUUUAAAUCAACCAAUAAUAGGAGCAUACUGGUCCUCAAGAGUCUGUGAUAAUAGUUAGUAAGUACAAGUGUAGCAAUCUAUCUAAAGUCAACCCAGUGAAACGAAAAUGUACAAAUUUUGAAUGCUUUGUAAUUGUCAACUUUCAUUGCAGUUUUCGUUGAAGGCUUGAAAGAUGUACUCUUUUCCACACCACUGGAGGAUUUCCAUGAAACAAUGAGACAUCAUGAAUCAUUGGUUCCCGAGCCCUUAAGCCACAAGUUUCAGGAAAGGCUGACUCAAAAAGCUGCAGUUGACAAGUGGAAGGCUAAGAAAAGGACAGUUGCUGAGUGCUUUCCACCAGUGAAUGAACAGUUGAAAAUGCAAGAAACUAGAAAGGCACAGAAGCAAGCAAACGAGAAGACAAAUGCACAACAACAAAAGAGGGCACCAUGUUGCAGAAAAUGCAAUUUGCCAAUGAAAGGUCACUGUCAUUGUCAUCCACGUGGUCACUGUCAGAGCAAUGAAGCAACCCUCUAAAGUUUUCUCCAAAAGGCCUCGUUCCGUAUAACAUUUUCUGUUACUGCCAUUGAGGCAAUCAUGUAUCUUAAGUUUCAUUUGAGGAUAACAAUAUCCCUUUGCAUUUUGAAAUAUCGCCGCAUGUCUUUCAAAAUAUAUUUCUGUACUUGUUAUUUUCCAAUCAGAAUUUUGCCUCAAAUUUUGCCUCACUUAACCAAAAACCAAUAUGAAAGAAUUUUAAUAUUUCAAGUGAAAAGAAAAAAACUUCUGAUUGAAUGUUUUGAAAUUCUCAGUGUAUCAAUUUUCUUCAUAAGAAGAGGGUUAAUCACGUUCCUCUGUUGUAGCAUAUCCUCUUAAGGAAGUAGUCGGGAACCGAGACCUGAUUUCUUCAUAAAUGCAGGCAGGCAGUGGUCUUGUGUUGUCCCAUCCCAUAGGUCCAAAGAUCCACCUUACCAGCCACCUAUAGGCAACAGCUCUUGCAUAUCUGAAAAUAAAAACAAACUUCUUAUACUUCAAGCACAUGCCAUUAUAAUAUAUAUGCAUUGAAAAUGGGGAUUUGGCAUGGAGAUAUGAAGAUAAGAUAAGUUGUAAACGGAUUUUCCUAAAAAAUUAUUUUGCCAAGUAUAUAAACCAUAUAUUUAUAUAUAUAUAUAUAUAAAUUUCACCAUAUAUUUAUUAGGGUGAUCAAUAAUAUGAUUUGGCAGAUAAAACAAUCAUAUACACAAUCAAAUACAAUUGUGAAGGUAACAAUUGCUUUCUUGUGUCACGAUGCUGAAAUUGGAAGUUUCAUUAUAGAAUUUUUCUAUUGAAAGUUACUUGUCAAUACAUCAGCAUAAGCCUCCGAUCAACUGCUAAAAUUUUUGUAUUGAACCUAUUCAGUUAUGAUAAUAAAUUUUUAGUUCAGUUACAACUAAUUUCUCAAGAAUAAUGAUAAAAAGGUAUUCUAAAUUCUUAUGUAUGACAAUUUGCUCAUUGAAAUAUAUAACAAUGUUUUU